rfam:Oryctolagus cuniculus chromosome 17, whole genome shotgun sequence.
AACAACCAAAAUUCUGGCGGGCCUGGCGGAGCGCGGCAACGCGCAGAGAUUGCGAGGCGACCGGGGCCAGCUGGGCCCCAGCGGCUCGCCCCUCGGCGGGGCCGGGAGCCGCGCCAGUCGGAGCCCCUGGCUGAGGGCGGUCAGCCAGCUUCUCAGCGCCCAUCCCUCCGGAGAGCAGCCGGGGGGCAUGACCGACCCACCGGGGCGCCGCCUCCGGCGCUCGCAGGCCACGGGUGAAGAAGAAAGUCCGUACCUGCUCGGCCCGGAGUGAGGAGGAGCCCCCGGCAGAGGAGGUGACCCCAGACGAGGUGAUCCAGGCGGAGGAGGUGACCGAGACUAAGGAAAUG